CACAAAAACACCUUCAUGGGAUCAGAACCCGGAAGUCGCCCGCCCCUGAAGCAGUAAUAAUAAUUAGAAUUUAGAAUAAUAAUAAUUCUUCAUUUUAUUGAAAGGUGCUUUCAGGGCACAGAAAGAAUAAAUGCCAAAGGCUCCCAGUGCAGAGGCUGCAGCAGCAGCAGAGCCUUCAGCCGGAUUCAAAGACUCGGAGGUUCUGAGCGGGAAUGUGGAUCCGGAAGAACCGGAUGUGUUCAGGUUUCAGCGCUCAGCCGAUUUGUGCGCAAAGCGUCUGGAGAGCUGCAGCGAUUCAUGAGGUCAUUUCCGGGUCUCACCGAGUCGUCGUCCGGGUCGGCGCCGGCCGGCAGCAGGCCGCCCUCCAUGGUGGAGCUCCGGAACACGCCUUUGAUCCGGUUCCCGAUCCGGCUGAUACCGAACGCCUCGCCCCGUCGGGACGGAUUCCUGGAGGGCAGGACAGUGAGAACUAGGCUGCCGGCACCAGAACCAGGCAGGCACCAGAACCAGGCCGGCACCAGGCUGCUCCAGACCUGUGGAUCCUGGCGUUUCGGGUCGGCGACUCGGAUCCUCUCAGCAGAUGUCUGAAGUACUGAGAGCCAGAAAAAAACAAACUGGGUCAGAACCAGCCCAAUGGCGGCACUGGGAAAGUAUUCACUCCCAGAUGCUUCAGGCUGGGCGUGGAUUGUGGAGUGGCCUAGUCAAAGCCCAGACUCGGAUCAAUCCGGGUCGGCCUGAAUCAAACUAAAACAUGGGGGUUUGAUCAGGUUUGAUCCGCUUCACAAAAGCUGAUGGAAAGUUGAGGAGAUGGAAAACGUGCGGAAAGCCCAGGUUAGACGGCUGCUUGACAGAGGAAGUUUUCCUUCCACACAACCUUCCAUCAGCGAGUUGGAACCGGGCCGGGAACCGGGCCUCACCUCGUCACUGUGGCAGAACAUGGGCGUGAAAAACUUCCUCCAGCAGGGAGAGAACCAGUUCGUAGGCCUGGAACAGGAAGGGCUUCUUCUGCAGCGCCACCACCUGGAUGUAGGGCGCCACCGCCACUGCAACGGAGCACAGGGUCCAAUUAGAGGUUCUGGUGGUUCUGACGGGUCUGGGUUCGCUUAAAAACCACCUAAUGUGUUUGUUUUCCUUUUAUUGACUUUAAUAUUAAUUGAAAUAUUUUAUUUUCUAA